CCUACGGGGGGCAGCAGUCGAGAAUCAUUCACAAUGGGGGAAACCCUGAUGGGGCGACGCCGCGUGGGGGAAUGAAGGUCUGCGGAUUGUAAACCCCUGUCAUGUGGGAGCAAAUUAAAAAGAUAGUACCACAAGAGGAAGAGACGGCUAACACUGGGCCAGCAGCCGCGGUAAUACAGAGGUCUCAAGCGUUGGUCGGAAUAACGGGGCGUAAAGGGUGCGGAGGCUGUUUCGUAAGUCGGGUGUGAAAGGCGCGGGCUCAACCCGCGGACUGCACAUGAUACUGCGAGACUAGAGUAAUGGAGGGGGAACCGGAAUUCUCGGUGUAGCGGUGAAAUGCGUAGAUAUCGGGAGGAACACUCGUGGCGAAGGCGGGUUCCUGGACAUUAACUGACGCUGAGGCACGAAGGCCAGGGGAGCGAAAGGGAUUAGAUACCCCUGUAGUC
rnacentral:rRNA from 1 species